GAUGAAGAACGUAGCAAAAUGCGAUACUUGGUGUGAAUUGCAGAAUCCCGUGAACCAUCGAGUUUUUGAACGCAAGUUGCGCCCGAAGCCAUUAGGCCGAGGGCACGCCUGCCUGGGCGUCACACGUCGUUGCCCCCCCAUCUACUCCUUCGGGAUUGCGGGGGGCGGAUGAUGGCCUCCCGUGCGCCUCGUCGCGCGGUUGGCAUAAAUGCCAAGUCCUCGGCGACGCACGCCACGACAAUCGGUGGUUGCGAAACCUCGGUUGCCCGUCGUGUGCGGUCGUCGCGCAUCGAGGGCUCGAAAAAAUUGCCGGGCUCCGGCUCGGCUUUCAACGCGACCCCAGGUCAGGCGGGGUUACCCGCUGAAUUUAAGCAUAUCAAUAAGCGGAGGA
rnacentral:misc_RNA from 1 species